AUAUGUGUGUAUUUCUAGGUAUUACAAAAAAAUAAGCUCAGAUUUUAUUUCAUUUUUAAUCUUGCAUAACUUUUAUUGAUAAACUCCAAAUACAGUUUUAAUUGAAGACGAAAAGAUGGUUGAUACACACAUGUAUUUAUUUUACAAGCUAUUUAUUAAAUGGGUUGUUUUUUCUGCACUUAGUCUAGAUUUAUGGAAUAUUAGACCUUUAUAAAUUUACGCCUCUGCGGAUAUUUCUGUAAUUAUUUUUUGAAUCUCUGUUAUGCUUAAUGGCAAGAAUCUGUAUUGGGACAAUCUUUUCAGUUUUGGCUACAUGUACUGACACAAGUAUUUUGUCAAAGUUGGGAAUGUUGUAAUUACCAGUACAAAGAUCUUAUGUACAUGCUAGUGUGCUAUUACAAUAUGCAAAAUAAGAAACAUGACCAUGUGUCCUUGUUUUAACUACAUGUAUGUGAUAUAACAGGACUCUCUUUAAAAACAAAUUUCUACAACUUUUUUAUUAAUAGGUUUAUUGCUGAAUUCGGUAUCUUUCAUUUCAAGUAAAAAGGCAUUUAUGAAGGCUUGUUUUAUUUUUGGGGAUGACAGUUUAUUGUUGAUGUUCAUUUCCUUUUAAUAUGAACUUAAGCAUUUUAUCUUAUACAGCUGAUACAUGAAGAGCAAGAAAGAGUUGGAGUCAGAAUCUGUCAUUUAUUAGAGUAACCCAGAUCAGUAUUGUGUGUAAUAUGAAUUUCAUGUAAUUUUUUAGCAACUUACAAUUCAAUUUUUAGAGAUUUUCAAGUUUCAUGCUGACAAUUGUGUACUAUAUGUAUGAAUCAUUUUAUAGUACUCCGUGAGAGCUUGUUUAUUUUGUUUGGAUUUUUUAAAUUCCAUAUCAUUAAGAAAGAGUCUAUCUACGACACAUGUCUCAUCGAUUCCAUUGUUCAUUUUACCAUAGCAACCUCUAACAAAGGUUUUAAGUUGUAUAAUAAAUGUAGUAAAUCAG
rnacentral:sRNA from 1 species